rnacentral:lncRNA from 1 species
CUCUUUCUUUUUGUUUCUCAGAGAUGGGUUUUCACCAUGUUGCCCAGGCUAGUCUUAAACUCCUGGGCUCAAGCAAUCUUCCCACCUUUGCCUCCCAAACCGUUGGGAUUGCAGGCAUGAGCUACUGCUCCUGGCUCCAUUUAUUAUCUUUUAUACUGUAUUUUUACUGUACCUUUUCUGUGUUUAGAUAACAAAUCAUUACUAUUGUGUUACAGUUGCCUACAGUAUUCACUACAGUAACAUGCUGUACAGGUUUGUAGCCCAGGAGCAACAGGCUAGACCAUACAGCCUAGGUGUGUAGGCUAUCCCUCCCAUCUAGGUUUAUGUAAAGACACUCUAUGAUGUUCCCACAAGGAUGAAACUUCCUAUGACACAUUUCUCAGAACAUAUCCUGUUGUUAAGUGACACAUGACUGUAUGCUAAUCAAUAGCCUGCUUCUCUGGGCUUUCCACACCUGAACUCCCAAUGAGAAAAAGGGAAAGAAGAAAAAAUUAGAGCAACUCUCUUCAUCCCUCAUCUUUGCUGGUGUCUCACUGUCAGUGAGGCCCCUUCACACCCAUCACAUGAGAGAGUCAUUGCUGUCAAUUCUGUAUUACAGAUGUUCGAAGGGAGGGUUGCAAAUGCCAAGUGAGCUGUCAAUGGUCUACUGCUUAUUGGUAGCUGAGCUGACAAUCGAACUAGCCAACUUCACUGGGAAGAACAGGUGCUGAUACGGAAGGAGGGGAAGCAGACCUCUGAAGCAUUGAGUGCAAAGGAACAGGAUGCUCACAUUUGCAACACCCAGCAACUCUUAUCCUCUCCAGAAUGUUCUCCAGGGAGAACAAGACUUGACUGAUUCCUCAGAAGAGUGCUGCAUCCAUUUUACAAGCGGACAAGCCAAGUCCUUAGAAGGCCUGGGACUGGUCCAAGGAUGGGUGGCAGGUGAUCUGAAGCCUCUAGGCCCCCAGCCUGAGGUGGCCUGUUCCCUCAAUGGAGCCACUCCAGCUCUGGCAAGGGCAGGUGUGGUGGCGCUGGUGCCUGCUGUGGGAGUACAGUGGGCCUUUGUGCCAGGCGGGCACCACCCCCUGGCUGGCCCCUCCCCAUUCACAGGACAACUCUUACCUGCCCAGCCACCACCCCAGCCAACAGCUCAGCCGGCUGCUCCUUCCUGGGCUCCACGCCCAGAGCUGCUUCCCGAAGGUGCAGCCUGCAAGGCAUCGCAGGGGCCCCGCGCUACUGCCCUGCUCCCUCAACGUCCCAGGUCCCCUCCCCCAGUGCUGAUCAUUAACCAGGAGGCCGUAUAA